rnacentral:misc_RNA from 1 species
UGAUGAUGCAGAAGUACGGGAAGCUGCUCUUCGUGGCCUUCUCGAACUUGCCAAGGACAAGAAAGGUGAGAAUGGUGGAGGGUUAGGUGAAGAUGAUGACAAGUUAAAGCAGGUUCUUGAGGAACGGAUAAAGGGAAUCAGUUUAUUGUCACCUGAAGAUCUUGGGGCAGCUAGGGAAGAAAGGCAGCUUGUUGAUUCACUCUGGAACACCUGCUACAAAGAACCAUCAUCUCUCCGUGAAAAGGGCCUUCUUGUUCUUCCUGGAGAAGACGCACCACCUCCUGAUGUUGCUAGUAAGCAUUUUGAACCUCCUCUGAGA